GACGAACCGAGCGAACGUUGUUCGGAAUCACUGGGCUUAAAGGGCUCGUAGGCGGCCAACUAAGUCAUACGUGAAAUCCCUCGGCUUAACCGGGGAACUGCGUCUGAUACUGGAUGGCUUGAGUUCGGGAGAGGGAUGCGGAAUUCCAGGUGUAGCGGUGAAAUGCGUAGAUAUCUGGAGGAACACCGGUGGCGAAGGCGGCAUCCUGGACCGAUACUGACGCUGAGGAGCGAAAGCCAGGGGAGCAAACGGG
rnacentral:rRNA from 1 species